CAGUGAACUCACAACUGCAAGUCUGUGAGUAAAUGAUCACAGAGAGAGAGAGAGCGAGAGAGAGAGAGAGAGAGAGAGAGAGAGAGAGAGCUGCCCACAAACAGCCACGGAGUUCAAACACAGGCAAAGCAAACAAAAAGACUCCGCUGGAGGCGAUCCAGAAAUCUCAGUUCUUCACAAAAGGCACCAAACCUACAAGUCAGUCAUCCAGCAGAGAAGGUUGUAACCAACCAGUCCAAGCGGUAACCCAGAAAGAUAACCCUCAUAGAGUUCAGUGGGGCGCAGACAUUAAAUCAGUAGCCAUGUGGAAUGUUGAAUCUCCUUCCCUGUUCUCAUACUCGCUACAUAGCUUGGCCUCUCUCCUCUCUUCUCCUCUCCUCUCCUCUCUUCUCCUCUCCUCUUCUCUCCUUUCCUCUCCUCUCCUCUCCUCUCCUCUCCUCUCCUCUCCUCUCCUCUCUCCCCUCUCCUCUCUCUCCUCUCCUCUCCUCUCCUCUCCUCUCCUCUCCUCUCCUCUCCUCUCGUCCUCUCGUCCUCUCCUCUCUCCCCUCUUCUCUCUCGUCUUCUCUCCUCUCUCCUCUCCUCUCCUCUCCUCUCCUCGUCCUCUCCUCUCCUCUCCUCCCCUCUCCUCUCUCGUCUCCUCUCCUCUCCUCUCUCCUCUCCUCUCCUCUCCUCUCCUCUCGUCCUCUCCUCUCCUCCUCUUUCCUCUCUUCUCCUCUCCUCCUUUCUCCUCUCCUCUCCUCUCCUCUCCUCUCUCGUCUCCUCUCCUCUCUCCCCUCUCCUCUCUCAUCUCCUCUCCUCUCUCCUCUCCUCUCCUCUCCUCUCCUCUCCUCUCCUCUCCUCUCUCCUCUCCUCUCCUCUCAUCUCCUCUCUCCUCUCCUCUCUUCUCCUCUCCUCUCGUCCUCUUCUCUCCUCUCCUCUCUCGUCUCCUCAUCUCCUCUCCUCCUCUCUCCUCUCCUCCUCUCUUCUCUCUCCUCUCCUCUCUAAAUCGCAAGCUGUGAGAACAUGGCCUGCAAAAGAGGAAUAUAAAGUAACUUCUAAUAAAUU
rnacentral:lncRNA from 1 species